GUCUCUUCGGAGACAUCUGAUAAAAUUGGAACGAUACAGAGAAGAUAAGAAGAUUAGCAUGGCUCCUGUGCAAGGAUGACACGCACAAAUCAAGAAAUGGUGCAAUUUUUU
rnacentral:snRNA from 1 species